rnacentral:rRNA from 1 species
UACGUAGGGACCAAGCGUUGUUCGGAUUUACUGGGCGUAAAGGGCGCGUAGGCGGCAAUUUAAGUCAUCUGUGAAAUCUCCGGGCUUAACUCGGAAUGGUCAGGUGAUACUGCUUUGCUAGAGUGCAGAAGGGGCAAUCGGAAUUCUUGGUGUAGCGGUGAAAUGCGUAGAUAUCGAGAGGAACACCUGAGGUGAAGACGGGUUGCUGGGCUGACACUGACGCUGAGGCGCGAAAGCUAGGGGAGCAAACGGG